UACUCCUACGGGAGGCAGCAGUAGGGAAUCUUCGGCAAUGGACGGAAGUCUGACCGAGCAACGCCGCGUGAGUGAAGAAGGUUUUCGGAUCGUAAAGCUCUGUUGUAAGAGAAGAACGAGUGUGAGAGUGGAAAGUUCACACUGUGACGGUAUCUUACCAGAAAGGGACGGCUAACUACGUGCCAGCAGCCGCGGUAAUACGUAGGUCCCGAGCGUUGUCCGGAUUUAUUGGGCGUAAAGCGAGCGCAGGCGGUUAGAUAAGUCUGAAGUUAAAGGCUGUGGCUUAACCAUAGUACGCUUUGGAAACUGUUUAACUUGAGUGCAAGAGGGGAGAGUGGAAUUCCAUGUGUAGCGGUGAAAUGCGUAGAUAUAUGGAGGAACACCGGUGGCGAAAGCGGCUCUCUGGCUUGUAACUGACGCUGAGGCUCGAAAGCGUGGGGAGCAAACAGGAUUAGAUACCCUGGUAGUCCACGCCGUAAACGAUGAGUGCUAGGUGUUAGACCCUUUCCGGGGUUUAGUGCCGUAGCUAACGCAUUAAGCACUCCGCCUGGGGAGUACGACCGCAAGGUUGAAACUCAAAUGAAUUGACGGA
rnacentral:rRNA from 1 species